rnacentral:rRNA from 1 species
UAGGGAAUAUUGCAAAUGGGCGAAAGCCUGAUGUAGCGACGCCGCGUGUGCGAUGAAGGUCUUCGGAUUGUAAAGCACUUUUUGGAGGGAUGAGGAAGGACAGUACCUCCAGAAUAAGCCUCGGCUAACUACGUGCCAGCAGCCGCGGUAACACGUAGGAGGCAAGCGUUAUUCGGAUUUACUGGGCGUAGAGCGCGUGUAGGUGGUUUGGUAAGUAGGGCGUGAAAGCUCCUGGCUCAACUGGGAGAGGCCGUUCUAAACUGCCGAACUAGAGAAUGGUAGAGGGAGGUGGAAUUCCGGGUGUAGCGGUGGAAUGCGCAGAUAUCCGGAGGAACACCAGUGGCGAAAGCGGCCUCCUGGACCACUCCUGACACUCAGACGCGAAAGCUAGGGUAGCAAACGG